UUUGAAAAGAUCUGAAGAUACGCCCCUUGGAUGCCUGCAGAGAAGCUCUGGGGCUUCAGUCAAUGACUCAGGGUAGCCACCGAACAUGAUGCUCGGGCAGUGGGUGCCACCUGGACUCCACUCUCCCCUCUCUCUGGGAUCAUAGAGUCCAAGGUGUUCUGUGGCCUCUCGGCCAAUCCCAGCAGCUCAGCGUGCAGAAGACCGAGGAGCCAUUGGAAUUCAACACAACACGAAAUAAUCAACAAAUUCGGGGAAUGUUAAUCUGACCAUCACCAGUUACAAAUGAUGUUUCAUGCUACCUUCUAUUCCUGCCUUCAUAAAUCAAGGAAAAGAAAAAGAGAACAUAUAUCCCCCUACCUUUUGAUUUCCAACAGUCUACUGAGAGGCCAAGAUUAUUUGCAGGGAAAGAAAAGGGGAAUGCCAUCCCCACCCUCUCGCAGCUACGUGCCAGUUCCAGAGCACCUGUUCCCCUCUACUUUGAAAAGGUCAAAAUGUUUUGCCAGUAACUCCCAAAUCAUCUACAGCCAAGGAGAAAAGUGUUUCAAGACAGAGGUGCUCAAUGGUAUCAAAUACUGCCAACAGACCAAGUAAUACAUGCAUUGAAGUGUCUACUGGAUCUAGCUAUAUAUGAAGAAACUGAGGCAGACAGAGGUGAAGAAACUUGCACAAGGUCAAAGAACAAAGAGUCACAUUAGCAGCUGGAUAUUCAGCUGUGAAGCUCAAGGAAGAAGUCAGGGCUGGAGAUAUAUGAAUGAGAACCAUCUGCAUAAAGAUGAUCUUUAAAAUCAUGGAGCUGGAUGAAAUCUCUCUCCACUCCUCCCCACAGGGGAAUGGAGCAAUGCCCAGGGCGCCCUGGGGCACCUCAACCUGCAGAGGCCAGUCAAGCUGGCAAGGAGUAACAGAAGACUGAUGAAGAAUGGCCAGCAAGAGAGGAGGGAAACCUGGAGGGCUUGAUGUCUCUACAAUGAAGAGAGCACUUCAUGGAGGAGGAAGUUGUCCCUAGGUUGAAUGCAGCUGAGGGACUAAUUAAGAUCACAGCUAAAUGGCCACUGGAUUUACCCAGAUGGAGAAGAAGAAGAAAAGCACCUACCUGGCAUGGAUGCCAUUCUUUAAGUACUUACAAUCCAUUCUCCCCUUACCCCGACUCCUACCUUUCUCCUUGCUGACAGAACAGGCCUCCCAUUACAAAGGCUGAGAAUACCAGAAACCCAAUGUCCCCUCCCUAAGGGAUCAGGCAUGGAAAAGGGAUUCCUCCCCUAAAAAACAGUCCCAUGGAAGAAGAUGGACAUGGUCCCCACGUGACGGCUGGAGUUGCUGUGAGCAUGAGGUGCGCCUUAUCAACAUGAUGAAGAUGGCAGACGGUGUACCAGGGUGCUGGCUGUAGUCCGUUUUGUGCUGUUAUAACAGAAUCACACAGACUGAGUAAUUGACAAAGAACAGAGAUUCAUUUCUCAGAGUUCUGGAGGCUGGGAAUUUCAAGCUCAAAACACCAACAUCCGUGUGAGCCUUCUUACGGUGUCCUCACAUGGCAGACAGCAGAAGAGCAAGAGAAGACAAACAUUGGGUCCUCACAUGGCAGAAGAGCGAGAAAAGGAGUGAAUCUGCCCCCACAAGCCCUUUUUACGGUGGCAUUGAUCCGCUCAUGACAUCAGAGCCCUCAUGACCUCACCACCUCCCAUUCAUUCUCACCUCCCCAGAGUCACAUUGAGGAGUAGGUUUCCAGCACAUGAAUUGUGGGGGACACAUUCAGACCAUAGAGGCUCUGAAUUCACCCUGGGCCUUCUCUGACCUCUUGAACCAUAACUACAAACUCAACCUGCAUUUUUAGCCUGCUGUAACUACCGAGGCUUUUCAAUGGAUUCAACCUGAGAAAAAUAAUAAAGAAGGACAUUGUAA
rnacentral:lncRNA from 1 species